rnacentral:rRNA from 1 species
ACUCAAAGGAAUUGACGGGGGCCCGCACAAGCGGAGGAACAUGUGGUUUAAUUCGAUGAUACGCGAGGAACCUUACCUGGGCUUAAAUGGGGAGUGACGUUUGCUGAAAGGCGGAUUUCUUCGGACACUCUUCAAGGUGCUGCAUGGUUGUCGUCAGCUCGUGCCGUGAGGUGUCGGGUUAAGUCCCAUAACGAGCGCAACCCUUACUGUUAGUUGCCAGCGCGUAAAGGCGGGGACUCUAGCGGGACUGCCACCGUAAGGUGAGAGGAAGGUGGGGAUGACGUCAAAUCAGCACGGCCCUUAUGUCCAGGGCUACACACGUGUUACAAUGGCCGGUACAAAGGGCAGCUACACUGCGAAGUGAUGCUAAUCUCUAAAGCCGGUCCCAGUUCGGAUCGAAGUCUGCAACCCGACUUCGUGAAGUUGGAUUCGCUAGUAAUCGCGCAUCAGCCAUGGCGCGGUGAAUACGUUCCCGGGCCUUGUACACACCGCCCGU